GACGAACGCUGGCGGCGUGCUUAACACAUGCAAGUCGAACGAUGAACCCGGAGCUUGCUCCGGCGGAUUAGUGGCGAACGGGUGAGUAACACGUGAGUAACCUGCCCUUGACUCUGGGAUAACUGCUAGAAAUGGUAGCUAAUACCGGAUACGACCCUCGGUGGCAUCACCAGGGGGUGGAAAGAAUUUCGGUCAAGGAUGGACUCGCGGCCUAUCAGCUAGUGGGUGAGGUAACGGCUCACCAAGGCGACGACGGGUAGCCGGCCUGAAAGGGUGACCGGCCACACUGGGACUGAGACACGGCCCAGACUCCUACGGGAGGCAGCAGUGGGGAAUAUUGCACAAUGGGCGCAAGCCUGAUGCAGCAACGCCGCGUGAGGGAUGACGGCCUUCGGGUUGUAAACCUCUUUUAGUAGGGAAGAAGCGAAAGUGACGGUACCUGCAGGAAAAGCACCGGCUAACUACGUGCCAGCAGCCGCCGUAA
rnacentral:rRNA from 1 species